GGGAUACAGAAAACAAGUGGAGGGAAGGGGGUUAAGUAACAUGACGUUUGUACAGCUUUGUCAGAUACAUACAAAACAUUAAGGAUAUUGCAGCCAAUACAAUCAAUGCAUGGGAAAUACAGGUUUACUCAUAUCUGCUUCUGUUGGCGUACUUAGAUUACUUAGCAUAUGGACAAUUUUGAAACAGGACAGGGACUAAUCAGUCUGGCAUACAGUAAAGCUCUUGUUAUAACAUUUACUUUUAAAUGCUCUUCCGUGUUCCCCUCGGGACAGCAGUUGAGCAUGUGCUACCAGCACCGCUGUCAUGUAGGGUAUGUGAUGGUAUUGAAAGCGUGUCGUGUCAGCCCGGUACCUUGUUCAUAUUUCCCUGGUAUCUUUUCCUCCCUAUCUUAGAUGGGAUGCAAUCCCGUUUUGUUUGAGCGUCCUAUCUCGUUUGGUUGGUGCCCUGGUGUCAGUAGUCCCGUUCCUGGGGUUGAUCUUCAUUCAUUCUAACUCCUUUUUAAACAGCCCUUGGUACUUGUGGUAAGUGGCUAUUCAACUAUACACAUAGG